AGACUUAGUCUUCCUGAAGAUCGAGGAACUCUAGUGUACACAGGAUGCACCCAGUGGGAGUAUAUUGGAAGACGUAAUCUGAAGGGCAUUACGUCUAUGAUGCAUUAUGUACCACGGCGCAUUUCAGCUCUUAAGGGAAUUCGUGUUGCAUUCGUGACGUCUCACUGUUCUGCAGCCCACUCCAUCAUCAUCACAGAAGAGGGCAAAGCUAUGUCACUCGGUCGCAAUGAGAAGGGUCAAUUGGGUGUUGGUGAUACCGAGAAUCGAACUGGUGUGAUGUCAAUGGACACUAUGUCAGAAUUUACUGUGGUAUCAGCUGCAGUGGGUCGUAAUCAUACUCUCCUCCUGACGGAUCGAGGCAGUGUUUUUGCCUGCGGUGACAACAAGUCAGGUCAGUGUGGUACGGGCAGUACUAACGCCAUUAUCCACACUCCAUGCCGGAUCAGCUUUAAGGAGGCAAAGAUCAGUAAGGUUGCCUGUGGUGCUGAAUUCAGCAUGAUUAUUGACAAGAAAGGUUACCUUUAUUCCUUUGGCUUACCAGAAUAUGGUCAGCUGGGCCACAACACUGAUGGAAAGUUCUUCAUUACUAGCAACAAAUUGUCGUAUCAGCAUGAGAGAAUACCGAGACGAGUACCUAUAUUUGUUGAACGUAGCAAGGAUGGUCAUCCCACCCCUGUCACUGAUGUGCAGAUAGUAGAUUUUGCUUGUGGAAGCAAUCAUACAGUUGCAAUUGAUGCAAAGAAGAGAGCCUUUUCUUGGGGCUUCGGUGGAUAUGGACGAUUGGGUCAUGCUGAACCCAAGGAUGAAUUCAUUCCCCGUCUGAUUAAGUUUUUUGAUGGCCAUAAUCGUGGAGUGGAAAAAAUAUAUUGCGGCUCAACUUUCACCAUUGGCAUCAGUGCCUUGGGUAUCUUCCUUUGGGGUCAGACCAGACGUACAGGAGAAGCUAACAUGUACCCCAAGCCACUACAAGAUCUUUGUGGCUGGGAUGUGAGAGCUGUUGGCUGUUCUGCCACCUCUGUUGUGGUGGCUGCAGAUGAAAGUGUUAUAUCUUGGGGCCCCUCUCCAACAUAUGGUGAACUGGGUCUCGGGGAGAACAUCAAGUCAAGCACACAACCAAAAGAAGUAAAGGCAUUGGAAGGUGCUCAUGUGAUGCAAGUCUCAUGUGGCAUGGGACACACAGUAAUGUUAGUACGUGAUGACACAGACAAAGACAAAGAGAUUUUGGAGAAACUGAAAGAAAUCACACUGUAAAGGAACUACUUUUUCAACAAGAUUGAAAAGAGGUUGCAAGCAUAACAUUAGGUGGAUAAAAGAUAUCUUCAUUAGAAGGGUUGAUGAACAGCAUUUGUCAACAUUCCUGUUACCCCCAGUUGGGGUUCUUCACCUGAUGUCAGCAUUGCAGAAUGACACGUGGUGCAGAGGAAACCUUUGUUGGCGACAACUUUUCACCCACACAAUGGACUUGAUCAUGUCCCGACUCAAUAAAGCCCAAUGUGUAGGUGAAAAUGCUGGUAAUGAAACUUUGAUCACCAGGUAUCUUUCUACCGUAAGUGUGGGCAGUACCUGCCAUUCUACACCAUGUCAAGUGUUGUUAGUGCUUUUUUUUCAACAGUAUUUUGGAUAAUGCUUCUUGAUAACCCUUUGAUAUUGUAGUUAAGAGGUAACCUCACCUCUUCCUGUAUCAUGAUUUUCUUACGAGAUAAAGGAGACAUUGUAUUGUAAACACAUUCCAGUUAGAUUGCAACAUAUAUCCCUCUGGUAAUUAUCAUACCUUUUUCUCUUAUCAAAUAUAUUCAUGAGCUCUACUUGAUAAACUGUGAAAGAUAAUUGAAUUUUUUUUUUUAAUUAAUUGUUGAUCCCUCAGAUAUAACAACAAAGCUUCAAAGAACUUUGGAAGAAUCUUGAAUACACAAAUAGUUAACUUAUACGUAAGUUGAUUUACUACCUCAGUUUGUGCGAGAGCUGUACUCUACUGAGGGAGGCAGUUUGCUUAUGAGACUCUGGGUAUUUACCCUUACAAAUACUGGAUUCCUUUUGAUGUUCAAGGUGCAUCUCUUUUAUAGCUUUAAACUUUAUUAUGAUGUAAGUAAUUUUGUAAUAUUUUAUUGGCCAAGAAAUGUUUUUGUUAUCUGUAUUUAAGUUAUAAAAUCCCAUAGGUCACCUUUAGUUUUAAAUCCUAUUUAAGCAUAGAUUUAAAAGUGUAUAUUAACCUCACAACACUUGGAUGUAGAAUACUUUUACAAAUACGUAUGCAACUUGGUGAAUCAAAAAUACAUGGACACAGUAAGGUUUCCUUAAUGAUGUUUCACUCUUGGUACUUGAAGAAACUCCACGAAGAGCUAGACGUCGUUAAAUAAAUGACUUACUUUAUUUGUGUCUUUGAUUUGCCAAUUUUUUACAAAGGGAACAGUUUUCCUUAUUACAAAAAUUACAUGUAUUAAUUUAUUAAUAGCUAAUUCUAGGCCUUUUCGCAUUAUUCUGCGAAUAUUAUCUUAGAAAGAGAUGUAGCCUAGGUAUCAUAGGAAAAUCUAGGAGGUUAGUCCUAAACUCAUUGUGUACCUGACUUAAAUUAGUUUAUCAGUACCAUGACUGGGUUAGUAAGUGCCCACAAGGUUUGUAGUGGUGAUUGUUAAUAUUUUGUCCAAACCUUUGUCUUGGCCACAAUCAAAGUGCAUGUUACACUGCCCUUAAACCUAGACUACUGAUGGAUUUCUUGAAUGUUGAGCAGUUGCAAGCAUCUCUCUUAAACUAAUAGUUAUAAAAUUAAUAACUUGUCUUUUGCUCAAAUUACCAACACAACCCUUUGAGAAAUGUCUUAAUAAUUUUUUUUUCUUUUCUGUCUCGGUAAGAGAUAAUUUUCUCUUAUUUAUUUGAAUUACUUUAGUACUUAAAAUUACUAUAUGAGUUUAUUCAUAGAAAUCUGUGAAAUGAAAAGUGAAUGAGAAGAAGCUCUUACCAUAACUGUUAUUUUAUCACUUCAGAUUUUCACAUUAAUUAUUCUCAAUAUUUCUCAAGAAGUAGAAAUGUACAAGUGAUUCGGUGCUCACACCAGAAAUAAAAUUUAAUUUUUUUUCAAGUAAUUAAUUGUAGUCAUGUCUACCUACAUAACAUUCAUGUUGUCAAAAUCAUUAUCAAAUUCUUCCUUUUUGCAACUUGCAGUUUAGUUUGGUCUACAUGGCCCUUUAAUUCAGAAAUACCACUUUAAAAGCAAAAAUUAAGCUUAUUAUACAAAACUGCAUAUAAGCAAUGUACUGUACUCUAGUUUAGUAUUCUCUUUACCAGACAUGCUAACCCUUAAAUUAAUAAAAUUAUGAUUGGAAUCUACAAAGAAAUAUGUUUCAUUCCAUUACAGAAGCAAUUAGAGAACCAGUUUUAGAAUAUAAUUACACAUGUUCAAAGAGAAUUGUUAACUAAUUGGCAGUUAUGCCAUUAGACAUUCUCCUUGUGGUUGACUGUAGAAACUGAAGAUUUGUAUAGAAAUAUAUUGUCAUGCAAACUGCUAAAAUGUUUGAAAUUUAAUUUUCCUAAGCUGUUACAGAGAGCAAUACUGUUUAUUCAGUACAGUUAUUAAAUUGACAAUAAGACAAGGGCUUCCAGUUGCAAAGCAAAUCUCAAUGUAGAGAUGCCAACAUAGUUGAGUGUUGUGCAGAUUUGUUAGCUUAAACUAGCAA